rnacentral:tRNA from 1 species
GGGCCCGUAGCUCAGCUUGGACAGAGCGGCAGACUUCUAAUCUGAAGGUCCCGGGUUCAAAUCCCGGCGGGCCCG